UCGACGGCAGAUUUGAACUGGACGAGGAAGUGAAGAACUUAAGCUCUGAUCGUGUUGAAACUUUCAGCUCCGAUUCCACACCCGCAAAACGGAUUAAAAGAGCAAAGAACACACGUGUUGCUGAGGCUGUAAGACGUUUACACAAUUCUGAAAACAACGCUAUGAAGCUGGAUCCAAAACAAAGUAUCAAUUCUCCACAUAACCUUGCAGUUACGACAUACAUGUUGGAGCAGGUCGGCAUUGCUUUUCCUGACACAGACAGCGACGUGAUAACAGCUGCUUGCAAGACUUAUUUUGAGUCUUUGAAAAGGAGCCAUCGUCUCGAUCAGCCAGAAAAUGCUCCCCAGAAAAAGAAAUUAAACAAUGCAAUGAAGACA